GUCAUAUCAUGGGAACUACCUUUCAAAGAAACAGCUUUAGUGUUUCCGUUCAGCCCACCAGGGAGGAGAGAAAUAUAAGUUUUGGAAACAAACAAAAAAGAGUGAUGGAAACUCUCCAGUUCAGAUCCAGUAGCUUUUAGGGAAGGAACUACAGUUGCUGACUUAAGGUGAAGAAGCAUCUAUUUAAUGUCUGGUCAAAUCCUACAAGAAACACAGAAAUCUAUGAUUAAAAAGCUGAGCACUUUGAUAUACUGCAAAGGGUAGAGAAGGCAGGACGGUCGAAAUUUUCUGCAAGGAAGAAUGAAUUUCAGGAUUUAUCACUAAAUAAGACAAAGUCAUUUAUUUAGUCCCCCUGACACAGCAGGGCAAACUGAGUUGGCAUACAAGUUACCUGGAGAAAAAGAGAGGUAAGGCGACAUUUUUAUUUAUUAAAAAGUAGGACACGUUGAAAGAAAAUGAAUUCAAUCAAAGAAUUUAUACGAAAGCUCUCCUCUACAACAGCUCUUUCUCUGUGGAUUCGCUUACAAAUUUAUUGUUAGUGCUGAAUUUAGAAUUGCAAUUUUUGUCAGAAACACAGCCAUUUA
rnacentral:sRNA from 1 species